UACAGAGACCUCAAACGUUGUCCGGAUUUAUUGGGCGUAAAGGGUCCGCAGGUGGUCGUGCACGUCUCGUGUCAAAUGGAAGGGCUCAACCCUUGCACCGCACGAGAUACGACAUGACUAGAGGCCGGGAGAGGUAAGCGGAAUUGCCGGUGUAGUAGUAAUAUGCGUUAAUAUCGGCAAGAACACCAAAUGCGAAGGCAGCUUACUGGAACGCGCCUGACACUCAGGGACGAAAGCGUGGGUAGCGAAAGGG
rnacentral:rRNA from 1 species